UACGUAGGGACCAAGCGUUGUUCGGAUUUACUGGGCGUAAAGGGCGCGUAGGCGGCAUGACAAGUCACUUGUGAAAUCUCCGGGCUUAACUCGGAACGGCCAAGUGAUACUGUCACGCUAGAGUAUUGGAGGGGCAAUCGGAAUUCUUGGUGUAGCGGUGAAAUGCGUAGAUAUCAAGAGGAACACCUGAGGUGAAGACGGGUUGCUGGCCAAAUACUGACGCUGAGGCGCGAAAGCCAGGGGAGCAAACGGG
rnacentral:rRNA from 1 species